AUCACCAAACUGUUUUGAAAGAUAAAAGUACUUCCUGAAUAUGUGGAUGGUGAGCCACGUGAAUGGAAGACAUGGAGAUAUGGACUGUUAACACCUUGUCAAACAUUUAUUGUCCCUUCCACCUCUAAACUUCUGUGAUAAUAGGUGAACAGGACCCACGUGGUGCAGAAUACUGCGAUACACACUGCGGAAUAAUUCAGGGACUGGGAGUUGGAGAGGGGAGACUGGAGAGAGUAGGAAGAAGAAAGAGACAUUAUACAAAUGCAAGCUGUUGUCACAACAAUGAUAAGAAAUCAGGAGUCGAAAGAUGUGGAGUAAGGGGGAAUUUCAGAGAAACCACAAAACACAAAAUAGGAAACAGAGACAGGAGAAGAUUGCUAUGACAAAAUUGCAGAAGGUGAAAUCUUUGGCAGCCUCUUAUUUCUCUGGAGAAUAUGAUAUUGUCAGGCUGAGGUGGAAGAAUCACAUGGUCAUACUGUUGAAGAGGUCUUGAAACAUUGGGCUUUCCUCUACAAGCGGAAGGAUAGCACUGGCAGCCAUCCACUGGCCCAGCAAUAUCCUGGAUUGAGACGAUAUCAUUUGCAUUACUUGCUGAAUGAAACAUAGUGAAAAUGACUGCAGAUAACCUCAACUAAGUCCAAGAUAUCAUUUUCAAAUCUGGACCAGCCCUUGCCAUCUAGACUGAACAGAGAUUCCAGUUUCCAGGAGAGUAGAUGGAGUAAUGAUAAAAGCACCUCCCAAAACUUUUGCCUUGCUCCAUCAAAACUUAUAAAAUCUUGGGAAGAGGAACUGUGGCCCAUCACUGAUCAUUUCAUCUAUUAAGUGACCACUUAUUGUCUUAUAAUAGGAGAUGUUCUGGAAACAUGCAUUGAAUCGAAGUGGCUUUGAGGAAGCAUGAAGAGAAAACAGGAUGGCAUCCUUUUGGCACCAUUUCUUAUGCUAUAAUAAGGAUUCCUUCUGUUUACACAUAAAACAGAAGAGUUUAAUCACCCCAGCAAUCUUUAACUUGGUAAUGAAGGCCAUAAAUUAAAUUUUAAGCAAAGUUAAAGAAGAUGAGAUGAAAUAUAAAACAAAAACAUCAUCAGAAUCUGCCCAGGAACAAUAUUCUUGACACCAAACCAUGACAUUAUGGGGCUCAGUUGUUUGUUUCUAGGGCAGCCCCUUGUUUUAUGUGCCAAAUAGCAUUUCCCUAAAUAAAACUGCAUGGAACAAAAUGCCAU
rnacentral:lncRNA from 1 species